rnacentral:rRNA from 1 species
CGGACGGGUGAGUAAUGUCUGGGAAACUGCCCGAUGGAGGGGGGUAACUACUGGAAACGGUAGCUAAUACCGCAUAACGUCGCAAGACCAAAGAGGGGGACCUUAGGGCCUCUUGCCAUCGGAUGUGCCCAGAUGGGAUUAGCUAGUAGGUGGGGUAAUGGCUCACCUAGGCGACGAUCCCUAGCUGGUCUGAGAGGAUGACCAGCCACACUGGAACUGAAACACGGUCCAG